rnacentral:rRNA from 1 species
UGGCCUAGGGAGAGCGGCAACGUUCACCCAGGGCCGGAAAGUUGUCCAAACUUGGUCAUUUAGAGGAAGUAAAAGUCGUAACAAGGUCUCUGAAUUAAGAGCAUUGGAGUCUCACGAUCCCUCUGCAGCGAACUUAAGGAAGCCUUUGCAACCCCGAGAGGGGAAACACGCGACUCUAAAGAAGGAUAUGCAAGUGACCAGUAGGUUGCGACACGAUCGAAUUGCGGGGAUCUCCUAAAGCCUCUGGGUACCAACCUCUCGUGGGAACACGGGGGGGGCCGGCACUAAUCACGCCGGGUACGGUAAAAAUCCCAAGGAUUCAGCGCGAGCUGGAAUGGACAAUCCGCAGCGAAGGCCCCAGACCGGGGACACGUUCACAGACUAAGUGGUUGUGGGUGGGAGCCUCCGGGCUCCUGCUUAAGAUAUAGUCGGGCCUGUAGGGAAACCUGCAGGGUAUUCGCGCGCGAAGAACCGCUCCGUAGGUGAACCUGCGGAGGGAUC